CCAGGUCAGGCGGGAUUACCCGCUGAGUUUAA
rnacentral:rRNA from 1 species